GACGAACGCUGGCGGCGUGCCUAAUACAUGCAAGUCGAACGAUGAGGCGAGGAGCUUGCUCUUCUUGGGUGAGUUGCGGACGGGUGAGUAACGCGUAGGUAACCUGCCUUGUAGCGGGGGAUAACUAUUGGAAACGAUAGCUAAUACCGCAUAACAUUGGAUGACACAUGGCAUUUUUUUGAAAGGGGCAAUUGCUCCACUACAAGAAGGACCUGAGGUGUAUUAGGUAGUAGGUGAGGUAAUGGCUCAACUAGGGGACGGUACAGAACCGAACUGAGAGGGGUGACGGCCCCACUGGGACUGGGACACCGCCCAGACCCCUUCGGGAGGGAGCAGUAAGGGAUCCUUCGCAAAGGGGGGAAACCCGACCGAGCAACGGCGCGGGAGUGAAUAAGGGUCUCGGAUCGGAAAGCUCGGUUGUAAGGGAAGAACGGGUGUUAGAGUGGAAAGUUCACACUGUGACGGUAGCUUAUCAGAAAGCGACGGCUAACUACGUG
rnacentral:rRNA from 1 species